AAUGGUGAAAAGUACCCCGGGAGGGGAGUGAAAUAGUACCUGAAACCGUGUGCCUGUAAGCCGUCAGAGCCUUGUGGGGUGAUGGCGUGCCUUUUGAAGAAUGAGCCUGCGAGUUAGUGAUACGUGGCGUGCUUAACCCGUGUGGGGUAUGCGUAGCGAAAGCGAGUCUGAAAUAUUGGCGUUUGUCGCGUGUUCUAGACCCGAAGCGGGGUGAUCUACCCAUGGUCAGGUUGAAGCAGAGGUAAGACUGUGUGGAGGACCGAACCCACCAGGGUUGAAAACCUGGGGGAUGAACUGUGGGUAGGGGUGAAAGGCCAAUCAAACUCCGUGAUAGCUGGUUCUCCCCGAAAUGCAUUUAGGUGCAGCGUUGCGUGGUCCCUGGUGGAGGUAGAGCUACUGGAUGGCCGAUGGGCCCUGUGGGUUACUGACGUCAGCCAAACUCCGAAUGCCAUUAGGUGUAGCGUGGCAGUGAGACUGCGGGGGAUAAGCUUCGUAGUCGAGAGGGAAACAGCCCAGAUCAUCAGCUAAGGCCCCUAAGCGUGCGCUAAGUGGGAAAGGAUGUGGAGUCGCGGUGACAACCAGGAGGUUGGCUUAGAAGCAGCCAUCCUUGAAAGAGUGCGUAAUAGCUCACUGGUCAAGUGGUUCUGCGCCGACAAUGUAGCGGGGCUCAAGCGUACCGCCGAAGCUGUGGCAGCAACACGUAUGGCUGGCGCCAUUUAUUGGUUGUUGGUGUGUUGUUGGGUAGGGGAGCGUCCUGCAUGAGGUGAAGCCUGGAGGUGACUUCUGGUGGAUUGUGUGGGAGUGAGAAUGCAGGCAUGAGUAACGAAUCUGCGGUGAGAAUCCGCAGCGCCGAUUGACUAAGGGUUCCAGGGCUAGGUUUAUCCGCCCUGGGUUAGUCGGGUCCUAAGGCGAGGCCGACAGGCGUAGUCGAUGGACAACCAGUUGAUAUUCUGGUACCAGGUUGUGACCGCCCAUGCUGAGGUCAUUGUGCUAACCAAUCUGCCCGCCGCGCUCUGGUCCUUCGGGAUUGGGGUUGUGUGUGGGUCUUGGGGUCCCGGUGAUGGUAGGCAAGCGUGUUAACAGGGGUGACGCAGACAGGUAACUGCAGUGCGCCGAUGGUUGUGCGUAUUUAAGGUUGUGGCCCGCCCUUCAGGUAAAUCCGGGGGGCACUAGGGGUGAGGACUGAUGAGGGACACACGCGUGUGUGGACUUGUGGUGAUCCUAUGCUGCCGAGAAAAGCCUCGACGUGAGGGCAUGACGCGCCCGUACCCUAAACCGACUCAGGUGGUCAGGUAGAGUAUACCGAGGCGUUCGAGUGAAUCGUGGUUAAGGAACUCGGCAAAAUUCCUCCGUAACUUCGGGAUAAGGAGGACCCCGUGACUUCCCAAUGCUUUGCGUGUUGGUGGGGUUGUGGGGUCGCAGAGAAUAGGGAGAAGCGACUGUUUAUCAAAAACACAGGUGCGUGCGAAGCCGUAAGGCGAUGUAUACGCACUGACGCCUGCCCGGUGCUGGAAGGUUAAGAGGAACCGUUAACAUUCUUUGUGGGUGUGAAGCGGUGAAUUUAAGCCCCAGUAAACGGCGGUGGUAACUAUAACCAUCCUAAGGUAGCGAAAUUCCUUGUCGGGUAAGUUCCGACCUGCACGAAUGGCGUAACGACUUCUCCGCUGUCUCAACCGCGAACUCGGUGAAAUUGCAGUACGAGUAAAGAUGCUCGUUUCGCGCAGAAGGACGGAAAGACCCCGGGACCUUUACUAUAGCUUGGUAUUGGUGUUCGCUUGGACUUGUGUAGGAUAGGUGGGAGACUGUGAAGCUGCCGCGCCAGCGGUGGUGGAGUCGUCGUUGAAAUACCAUUCUGGUUUAAGCGGUCACCUUAACCUUGGCCCGUGAUCCGGGUUGGGGACAGUGCCUGGUGGGUAGUUUAACUGGGGCGGUUGCCUCCUAAAAUGUAACGGAGGCGCUCAAAGGUUCCCUCAGCCUGGUUGGUAAUCAGGUGGCGAGUGCAAGUGUACAAGGGAGCUUGACUGUGAGACCGACGGGUCGAGCAGGUGCGAAAGCAGGAACUAGUGAUCCGGCCAUGGCACGUGGGUGCGUGGUCGCUCAACGGAUAAAAGGUACCCCGGGGAUAACAGGCUGAUCUUGCCCAAGAGUCCAUAUCGACGGCAUGGUUUGGCACCUCGAUGUCGGCUCGUCGCAUCCUGGGGCUGGAGUCGGUCCCAAGGGUUGGGCUGUUCGCCCAUUAAAGCGGUACGCGAGCUGGGUUCAGAACGUCGUGAGACAGUUCGGUCCCUAUCCUCUGUGCGCGCAGGAAAUUUGAGGAGGGCCGUCCCUAGUACGAGAGGACCGGGAUGGACGAACCUCUGGUGUGCCAGUUGUACCGCCAGGUGCAUGGCUGGUUAGCUACGUUCGGAAGGGAUAACCGCUGAAAGCAUCUAAGCGGGAAGCCUGCUCCAAGAUGAGGUUUCCACGCCCCCCCGUGGGGUGAGAGGCCCCCGCCAGACGAGCGGGUUGA
rnacentral:rRNA from 1 species